rnacentral:rRNA from 1 species
AACGAACGCUGGCGGCAUGCCUAACACAUGCAAGUCGAACGAGAACUUCGGGUCUAGUGGCGCCCGGGUGCGUACCGCGUGGGAACCUGCCCUUAGGUUCGGAAUAACUCCCCGAAAGGGGUGCUAAUACCGGAUAAUGUCUUCGGACCAAAGAUUUAUCGACUUUGGGGGGGCCCGCGUUGGAUUAGCUAGUUGGUAGGGUAAAAGCCUACCAAGGCGUCGAUCCAUAGCUGGUCUGAGAGGAUGAGCAGCCACGCUGGGACUGGGACACGGCCCAGACUCCUACGGGAGGCAGCAGUGGGGAAUAUUGGACAAUGGGCGAAAGCCUGAUCCAGCUAUGCCGCGUGAGUGAUGAAGGCCUUAGGGUUGUAAAGCUCUUUUACCCGGGAUGAUAAUGACAGUACCGGGAGAAUAAGCACCGGCUAACUCCGUG